UAUGCGACGAGCCAGCCCAUUCUUUUGCUCCAACAGUGCCUUCAUCAAGUGCUCAGUCUCUACUAUUUGAUGCUUGUUCUCUUUAGCUAUUUCUGGCGAUGCAACAAUUGCUUGCCAUGCCAUUUCUGUAAAAUCUUGCUGAGUGAUCUGCCAUUACAAAACCAAUUAAUUGGAUCGAGUGAAAUAUAUCAGUCAAAACGGUUAUAUAAAUCAUCCAUAACCACCUCACUCUACUUGGACUGAAAUAUAUCAGUCAGAACGAUUAUAUAAAUCAUCCAUAUCCAUUCCACUCUACUUAGAUAUAUUUCAUUCCAAGUUGUAUAAUUUUCCCCUUAAGGUAAUUAAGGGUUCUCCCUCCAUGGGUAAAUAGUUGAGUCUCAACUAACUGGUAUUGCUAUCUCAACACUUUGCUUACAGAUCAUUGAUUCCAAGAGAUAUUAGGGAACGACUCUAUAUGCCUAACCAUUCGAUCACAUUUGCCAAACAAGUAUCUCACUCUGCAAGCAAAUAGACAUGCCAUAACACCCAAACGGAAAAAUGUGCAAGCACAAAGAAUUCAAUGCAUUUUGAUUGAUUCAUUCAAUGAGAGUGUGACUUAUCAACUGCUUGAGUACCACUUCAAAUCUUCCUAUUAUGGAUAUCAAUCAAGUGACUAAUUGGCACCACUUCCCUCAAUAAAUUGAUUAGAUAAAGUGGCACUCAAUUCAGAACCAAUAAAUUGAUCUGAUAAAGCGGUGAGCAUCUAAAUACCAUUUUGCACACUUCCACUAUAGAAAGCAAUUGCAUUUACAAUAAAGUAAAAUCCAUAAGUAAAUGAAUAAGUAGUAUUACCCUUCCAUUUGAAGCAUCACAACGUACGGUAAGCCUUGAGCCCUGAGAAAGUUUCUCAGUUUUCCUACUGAAGAACACAUCCUUCCUCUUCAGUUUCAACGAACUACACUUGCCAAGAACUCGCGAUUUGCCUGAGAAGUUCAGGUACGGCGCUG
rnacentral:lncRNA from 1 species